UGCGUAGGCGGAUUCUUAAGUGGGAUGUGAAAUACCCGGGCUCAACUUGGGUGCUGCAUUCCAAACUGGGAAUCUAGAGUGUGGGAGAGGAAAGUGGAAUUCCUAGUGUAGCGGUGAAAUGCGUAGAGAUUAGGAAGAACACCAGUGGCGAAGGCGACUUUCUGGACCAUAACUGACGCUGAGGCACGAAAGCGUGGGGAGCAAACA
rnacentral:rRNA from 1 species